AUAAAUUCAUGAUAAGCCACACACAGUCAUACAUCUGUUGCACAACUCUCUGAGGUGACCACAAGGAUCCCAGUUUCCAUCAGGCUGCUACGGUUUCUGGUGCUGCCCUUGUCUUGCCUGCACUGUUUCAGGAAUGUUUGGAGAGAAUCGUUGUCUUCCAGUGUGUGACAUAUGUAGUCCCUCAGUGAUGGCAGCCUUUGGGAUACCUUUGUUUGUGUCCCCUGCUGGCCUGUCUCUGAGGGUUGCCAUUCGACACAAAUAUCAUCUAAAGGGCUCUCUCUGUAAAGAUAUCGCCACCUCCUGUGUCUGUGUGUGGUGCUCCUGGUGUCAGAUGCAUCGGGAGUUGAAACAUUUGAAGAAACCCCCCACUGUUGUCCACAUGCAGCCGGCUCCUGUGACUAUAAAUAUUCAAAAGUAAAAAACUGUUGUGGCCUCAGUAAGAACUUCAUUACUGCUGCUUCUUUUAAAAGCUAUUUGAAUGAGCUGAGAUCAAUAAACUGGCAUUAAAAUGUUAAUUUUCCCUUUGAAAUUUUGAAUCAGAAUAUGCUCAAAUCAUUUUUCAAAACUCUCCUGGAAUAAUAAUUCUGAAAAUGUAAUUUCUAGAGAUUUUUUAACAAUUGUUUUCUGUGAUAAAAGCUGAUUAGAUUUCUGUCUUAUUAAGCGAUGUACAGCUUUAAUAAAGAAUCUGAAAACUGAACUGUGUUAUGAAUGUGAAGGAAGUUUACAUCUUUCAGACCUGCUGUAAUGUGGUUUACUCUUGUUUGUUACUUUUAAUGAUUUUCAUGCAUUUUGAUAAGUAUGUGUAAUCAGUACAAAGAUCCAUGAGUUUACUGUGUGGUUAAUAAAGAGCAUUGCUGACCACAAAUUAUUUCCAUCUGCAGCAACAAUCAAUAAUGAAAAAAUGUUUAAAUGAUUUUUCAGUAAA